GAGCUCACACAUCCACAUUUGGUAAAGCUUUCGUAGAGGUUGUGUCAGUAUUUCGGAGCUCACACAUCCACAUUUGGUAAAGCUUUCGUAGAGGUUGUGUCAGUAUUUCGGAGCUCACACAUCCACAUUUGGUAAAGCUUUCGUAGAGGUUGUGUCAAUAUUUCGGGGCUCACACAUCCACAUUUGGUUUCUUUCGUGGAGGUUGUGUCAGUAUUUCGGAGCUCACACACCCACAUUUGGUUUCUUUCGUGGAGGUUGUGUCAGUAUUUCGGAGCUCACACACCCACAUUUGGUUUCUUUCGUGGAGGUUGUGUCAGUAUUUCGGAGCUCACACACCCACAUUUGGUUUCUUUCGUGGAGGUUGUGUCAGUAUUUCGGAGCUCACACA